AAGCCGCGAGGCCGAGCGAAUCCCAAAAAUAAACGUCCCAGUUCGGAUUGCAGUCUGCAACUCGACUGCAUGAAGCUGGAAUCGCUAGUAAUCGCGAAUCAGAAUGUCGCGGUGAAUACGUUCCCGGGUCUUGUACACACCGCCCGUCACACCAUGGGAGUUGGUAACGCCCGAAGUCAGUGACCCAACCGCAAGGAGGGAGCUGCCGAAGGCGGGAUCGGUAACUGGGGUGAAGUCGUAACAAGGUAAC
rnacentral:rRNA from 1 species